ACAUGCCUACAACAUAGCGUUAAUGCACUAGAUCCCAUUAGAACUCCACAGUUAAGUGUGCUCAUGCUAGAAUAGUGCUGGCAUGGGUGACCGCCUAGGAAGUCCUAGUAUUUUACAUGCC
rfam:Picea glauca, whole genome shotgun sequence.